UUUGAUCCUGGAAGAAAAAGAACAGAACUUUUUUUAUUAUCAAUUGUUAUUGAUUUAUUAAUUGCUUAUUAAUUGUUUAUUAAUUGUUUCAGCCUGUGGUGACACGCUCAAUUAGUACAAGUUAUAGCACUGGAACUAGUAGAAGACAGAAGAGAAUUUUGUAAAUAAACAAAAUAGUAGUUUUUGUAGUUCCAGUGUAUAUCUGAAUUAAUAUAAUCAGCUGAACCGGCUUGUUUGGUUUAACGAUUCCACGCAUAGGAUGAACUGUGAUUUCUAAAUCAUUUGUACCAAGAUCAAUCGAAAAUCUGUUAAUUUCAUGUUAAUAAAGAUAACUUGCACGGACCAGCAAUACACACGUAAGUACAUAUAUUAACAGUAAGAUAUUCGGGAGCAGUGUGAUCAUUAAAAAAUAGAUUACAUACGCGUUUCAUUUCAAUCAAUCCACGAAAAUAUAAAUGAAAUUAACAUUAAAAUACCUUUUAGACUACGCAUUUUCAGAUACAAGUACCGUAAUAUCUCUUUGUGUAGAAAAUCACAAACUGCAUCGAACACAAAAAAAUUACACAAAAAAUGUACAAAAAUUGUAUAGCUACGUUAAA